GACGAACGCUGGCGGCGUGCUUAACACAUGCAAGUCGAACGGAAAGGCCCUGCUUUUGUGGGGUGCUCGAGUGGCGAACGGGUGAGUAACACGUGAGUAACCUGCCCUUGACUUUGGGAUAACUUCAGGAAACUGGGGCUAAUACCGGAUAGGAGCUCCUGCUGCAUGGUGGGGGUUGGAAAGUUUCGGCGGUUGGGGAUGGACUCGCGGCUUAUCAGCUUGUUGGUGGGGUAGUGGCUUACCAAGGCUUUGACGGGUAGGCGGCCUGAGAGGGUGACCGGCCACAUUGGGACUGAGAUACGGCCCAGACUCCUACGGGAGGCAGCAGUGGGGAAUAUUGCACAAUGGGCGGAAGCCUGAUGCAGCAACGCCGCGUGCGGGAUGACGGCCUUCGGGUUGUAAACCGCUUUCGCCUGUGACGAAGCGUGAGUGGCGGUAAUGGGUAAAGAAGCACCGGCUAACUACGUG
rnacentral:rRNA from 1 species